CGCGGUGUGUUUUGGCAAACACACUAGUUUCAUAAGCCAGUCAAAGGGGUUCGAUUCCCCUCGCCGCGA
rnacentral:tRNA from 1 species